AACGAACGCUGGCGGCGUGCCUAACACAUGCAAGUCGAGCGCGAAAGCUCCUUCGGGAGCCUUAAAGCGGCAGACGGGUGAGUAACACGUGGGUAACCUGUCCCUGAGUGGGGGAUAACUACUCGAAAGGGUGGCUAAUACCGCAUAAGACCACGGCCUUUUGGGGUUGAGGUCAAAGGCGCAAGCCGCUUGGGGAGGGGCCCGCGGCCGAUUAGCUAGUUGGCAGGGUAACGGCCUACCAAGGCGACGAUCGGUAGCUGGUCUGAGAGGAUGAUCAGCCACACUGGUACUGAGACACGGACCAGACUCCUACGGGAGGCAG
rnacentral:rRNA from 1 species